rnacentral:rRNA from 1 species
CAGGUGCUGCAUGGCUGUCGUCAGCUCGUGUCGUGAGAUGUUCGGUUAAGUCCGCUAACGAGCGCAACCCUCGCUGUGUGUUAUAUGUGUCACACGGGACUGCCGGUCUUAAGCCGGAGGAAGGUGGGGAUGAUGUCAAGUCAGCAUGGCCUUUAUAUCCUGGGCUACACACACGCUACAAUGGCCAACACAAUAGGUUGCUAAGCCGCGAGGUGGCGCCAAUCCAUAAAGUUGGUCUCAGUUCAGACUGUAGGCUGCAACCCGCCUGCAUGAAGAUGGAGUUGCUAGUAACCGCAGGUCAGCUAUACUGCGGUGAAUACGUUCCCGGGGCUU